GUAGGGUUCAGAGGCUUCUUCUUCUCCUCUGCAGUGGACACCAGGCCUAGAAAUAUCAGUACAUUAUUCACUAUAUUUCACUUCUUAUAUUCUCAACAUAAGGAUCACCAGCAUUAUACCCACCCCCUUACUAAACAAACCUGAGGAACAACUGAGUAAAGGAGUUGGAUGACAGACCACAGCAAACUUGGAUGACUGUCAAGUGUUACCCAACAAAUUUACAGUUCAUAUUUAAUGACUAAUUAGGUCAGCAGUAACCAUGCAACUAGUUACAUCAGUUACCCUCUAGGUUCAUGACAGGCAGGGUGCAGUACUGAUUACCAUGUGUCAUUUCUACAAAGGUAAAGUCAAGAAAACAAUAAUCUUCCCCUAAAACCACUUAGUUGUCCUCUUUUUUCUACUUUACUGGACCAUUAUUAGAAACCUAUUAUAAACUGCUGUAAAAAAAAGAAAAUAAUAAAAUAAAAA